UACGUAGGGGGCAAGCGUUGUCCGGAAUCAUUGGGCGUAAAGCGCGCGUAGGCGGCCCGGCAAGUCCGCUGUGAAGGUCCAGGGCUCAACCCUGGGAUGCCGGUGGAUACUGUCGGGCUCGAGUCCGGAAGAGGCGAGUGGAAUUCCUGGUGUAGCGGUGAAAUGCGCAGAUAUCAGGAGGAACACCAAUGGCGAAGGCAGCUCGCUGGGACGGUACUGACGCUGAGGCGCGAAAGCGUGGGGAGCAAACAGG
rnacentral:rRNA from 1 species